GAAAUACCUUGAAUAUAA
rnacentral:snRNA from 1 species